UGGCUCAGUUGGUAGAGCAUGGCGCUUGUAAUGUCAGGAUUGUGGGUUUGAUUCCCAC
rnacentral:tRNA from 1 species